GAGGAGCUUGCUCCUUGGGUGACGAGUGGCGGACGGGUGAGUAAUGUCUGGGAAACUGCCCGAUGGAGGGGGAUAACUACUGGAAACGGUAGCUAAUACCGCAUAACGUCGCAAGACCAAAGAGGGGGACCUUCGGGCCUCUUGCCAUCGGAUGUGCCCAGAUGGGAUUAGCUAGUAGGUGGGGUAACGGCUCACCUAGGCGACGAUCCCUAGCUGGUCUGAGAGGAUGACCAGCCACACUGGAACUGAGACACGGUCCAGACUCCUACGGGAGGCAGCAGUGGGGAAUAUUGCACAAUGGGCGCAAGCCUGAUGCAGCCAUGCCGCGUGUAUGAAGAAGGCCUUCGGGUUGUAAAGUACUUUCAGCGAGGAGGAAGGCGUUGUGGUUAAUAACCGCAGCGAUUGACGUUACUCGCAGAAGAAGCACCGGCUAACUCCGUGCCAGCAGCCGCGGUAAUACGGAGGGUGCAAGCGUUAAUCGGAAUUACUGGGCGUAAAGCGCACGCAGGCGGUCUGUCAAGUCGGAUGUGAAAUCCCCGGGCUCAACCUGGGAACUGCAUCCGAAACUGGCAGGCUAGAGUCUUGUAGAGGGGGGUAGAAUUCCAGGUGUAGCGGUGAAAUGCGUAGAGAUCUGGAGGAAUACCGGUGGCGAAGGCGGCCCCCUGGACAAAGACUGACGCUCAUGUGCGAAAGCGUGGGGAGCAAACAGGAUUAGAUACCCCUGGUAGUUCCAUCGCCGUAAACGAU
rnacentral:rRNA from 1 species